UACGUAGGGUGCAAGCGUUGUCCGGAAUUAUUGGGCGUAAAGAGCUCGUAGGCGGUUCGUCGCGUCGGCUGUGAAAUCCCGAGGCUCAACCUCGGGUCUGCAGUCGAUACGGGCGGACUGGAGUUCGGCAGGGGAGACUGGAAUUCCUGGUGUAGCGGUGAAAUGCGCAGAUAUCAGGAGGAACACCGGUGGCGAAGGCGGAUCUCUGGGCCUGUUCUGACGCUGAGGCGCGAAAGCUAGGGGAGCGAACAGG
rnacentral:rRNA from 1 species